rnacentral:rRNA from 1 species
AGUGAACGCUGGCGGUAGGCCUAACACAUGCAAGUCGAACGGCAGCACAGUAAGAGCUUGCUCUUACGGGUGGCGAGUGGCGGACGGGUGAGGAAUACAUCGGAAUCUACUUUUUCGUGGGGGAUAACGUAGGGAAACUUACGCUAAUACCGCAUACGACCUACGGGUGAAAGCAGGGGAUCUUCGGACCUUGCGCGAUUGAAUGAGCCGAUGUCGGAUUAGCUAGUUGGCGGGGUAAAGGCCCACCAAGGCGACGAUCCGUAGCUGGUCUGAGAGGAUGAUCAGCCACACUGGAACUGAGACACGGUCCAGACUCCUACGGGAGGCAGCAGUGGGGAAUAUUGGACAAUGGGCGCAAGCCUGAUCCAGCCAUACCGCGUGGGUGAAGAAGGCCUUCGGGUUAUAAAGCCCUUUUGUUGGGAAAGAAAAGCAGCAGGUUAAUACCCCGCUGUUCUGACGGUACCCAACGAAUAAGCACCGGCUAACUUCGUG